rnacentral:lncRNA from 1 species
AUGAAAUUUUAUUCUCUUAAGCUGUAAUCAAAUGCCUUUGGCACUUUUGGUUUUUAGUGUUUAAUUAAAAUAUUAUGCUAUAGAUAAAGUACCUAUGUGCCCCUUAUAUUUUGUGACCUCAAGUGGUAGGAUGACAUGAGUAUAGGUCAUAGAUACUAGGCAAGAGAGUCCAGUGCCAUUCCUGGCCCUUGGAUUUCCUUUCCCAGUGUUGUCAUGAGGAAAAAUUUCCCUCAUUUCAUAGUAGAGAAACUAUUUUUCCUUGGGCAACUGAAAAUGCUUUUUCCCAUAUCUUUUGGCUUUGUUUUCCAUGGAAAAUAGAAACAACUCUAUUUUGAAGCUAGGACAAGUGGCCUUGGAAAUGAAGUGGAAUGCUGGGUCUAUGAGGUUGACUUAGCUAGGCUAGAGGGAGAUUUGUAUCUGGUCUUCUGUGUUGGUGUUUUCUGUCUUCCUUACAUUUGCUUGGAGGCCUUUCUGGCCAGCAUGUUUGUCUGGAAGCAGGUCUCUCCAUAGCUCUUUGACUAAUGUCUAUGACCUUAAAAUCUGGAGAGAUGAGGGAGAUUUCUUUGAAAUAAAAAGGGACUUUUAAAUACAUGUUAUGACUGGAUUAAGAAAUCUUUAUGGCUCUUUCAUGGUCUUGACAAGACUGAUAUGGUGGCAUGGGGGCAGGGGAGGGCACGGAGGAGCACAUGUAGAAAGGGGUGCCGUGGUCUGAGUGUGUAUCCUGAACCUAUGUGCUAGGGGCUCAUACAGCACAGUGGAGAAGGUGUGGCCUUGCAUGAGGAAGGCAAUAAGAACCUCCUUGGUCUUGGAUUGUUACUGUUGAAGCAAUGGCCUGAGAGAGUAGGCUUGUUCUCUGCUUUUCUCUUAUAUCAGGACAUGACCUAUGUCCCUUCUGGUACCUGCAGCAACUAGCUGCCAUCUUGGAAGUAGAGGGUCUGACUCUUUCUCACUUGUGCUAUGGAGAUCUUAGAUGUGUCCCUGCUUGUCAACAUAUACAGAAUUAUAUUUCUAUUUUCUUCUAAAACAAACAAACAAACAAACAAACAACUAGCCUCAGGUACUUUGGGAUAGCAACACUAAUGGAAAGUCCUAGAGAAGAGGAAGGGUUAAAAAGAACUAGAAACAUUGGUGGGGGGGAGGGGUUCAUAUCUAAAAUUCCAGUGCCUGGGAGGGUGAGACAGAGGAUUACCACAGGUUCAAGGCCAGCCUAGGCUAUAGUUUGAGAUCCUGGCUCAAAACCUGAAAAGG